rnacentral:lncRNA from 1 species
ACAUUUCUAUUCCCAAAUUUUGAAGCUUUCUGAGCAUGCUGUGGGCAGAUUUAUGGCACAUGCUUUACCUGGACAGAUGAACAAAAAAAUUGGGGGUUUCUGUGCUGUUAAAAGCCAUGCCUUGAUGGUAGGUUGCUGUAUAUUAUAAGCAGUAUAUUUAAUUGUAUGUUCACAGAAGCGUAUGAAAUACAAUGUCUUUUGUGUUAUGGCACGGUCUGCUUGCUCUGCCACCAUCAGGCAGACAGUGGAUAUGUGAAGGGGUAAAGAAAUAUUCAAUUUGUCUACCAAAUGCAAAUGCAUAAUGGUAUAGGAGGAUGAAGGCCUGUAAUCAAAGUGCUAAUAACAGUGAGGCCUGUUUUAGAAGAAACAGUGAAAAAAAAAAAAACACAUGUAAAGACACAAAGUUGUUGUCACGCAUCAGAAAUAGUAAUUGAAUUUUUAUCGCUUCUGACCCCCUGUAACCAGAAUAAAUAUAGUAGAGUUGCAUAAGUGCAAUUAAGAUUGUACUUGGGGCUAAAAAAUAGUAUCAGUACCAUAAAACUAAUGCUUAAAGUUGGUUGACUGAGAUGGGAUAUUUCAGUACGUACACUGGAACAUGAAUAUUUAUUGAAGGCAUUUAUGCUUUGAAUAAAACAUCUGAGUCAUGAGCACAUGAAGCUUUAAGCUUCCGCAUUUUAAAAUCCAUGUUGAACACAAACAGUUAAAUGUCUGAUUUCAACUUAAGAUUGUAAUGAACAGCAGACAGAUCGUGUCUUCACCUUGAGAAGCAACACUUUGACUGCUGAUCAGACUUUUGGGUGCCUGUGAGCAGUAGCUGAGGAUAUGUGAAGGCAGUAUUUAAAUAAUGCAGAAAAGACCUGUUUCUUUAGCUGCCUCCCUCAUUGACAUCAUCGAAGAAGUGAGAGGUACCACGGGAGAUGCAGAAGAAAGCAGCGAUGUUCUGAUGUGCAUGUGGUCACCCGGGGCCUGUUUUGCAGAGUCCCAUGGGUCUGAUCUGAAGACUAUUGAAAUCAAUGGAACAAUUCACAGUGCUUUCAGAGAAUACUGGAAAUGCAUUAAAAGCAUGUUGGGGCACAUUCAAGUUGAAGAUAUUUCCCGCAAGGUCUCAUUCAUGCUACAGUCACACCAGGACAACAACUCCAACAUACAGCAAACUAAUGUCAAACAAAUUUUCUGA